GUAACCCCUGGUUGACAAUCUAUUGUCUAUAGCUUUCUGUUCACAUUGGUAGGUUUUUUCUGUGCUGCAAUUACGUUUGGCUCUGAUUAAUUCACCAGUGGGAAUAGCUUUCAAAGUAUGUUUAGGAUGGAAUGUACCUGCAUGAAGAAUUGACCUUGACUCUAAGGCCCCU